rnacentral:rRNA from 1 species
AUAAACGCUGGCGGCGUGCCUAAUACAUGCAAGUUGAGCGGUAAGGUUCUGCACCCACUAUUUGACCAGAUGAGUCUCCCGCAAGGGAGAUACUAUCUGCAGCGAUAACUUCUGGCUGAAGUUAUAGUCGAAUGAUGAGUGUAGAAUACACGAGCGGCGACGGCAGAGUAACGCGUAGGAACGUACCCAACAGAGGCAUAAGACACCGGAAACGGUGUCAAUACCGCAUAAUAUCUUCGGA